rnacentral:rRNA from 1 species
UGCAAGUCGAUCGCUCUUUUCGGAGAGAGAGGCGCACGGGUGAGUAACACGUGGGAAUAUACCCUUGAGUACGGAAUAACUAUUGGAAACGAUAGCUAAUACCGUAUACGCCCUACGGGGGAAAGAUUUAUCGCUCAAGGAUUAGCCCGCGUCUGAUUAGCUAGUUGGUGAGGUAAUGGCUCACCAAGGCGACGAUCAGUAGCUGGUUUGAGAGAAUGAUCAGCCACACUGGGACUGAGACACGGCCCAGACUCCUACGGGAGGCAGCAGUGGGGAAUAUUGGACAAUGGGCGCAAGCCUGAUCCAGCCAUGCCGCGUGAGUGAAGAAGGCCUUCGGGUUGUAAAGCUCUUUCAGACGUGAAGAUGAUGACGGUAACGUCAGAAGAAGCCCCGGCUAACUUCGUGCCAGCAGCCGCGGUAAUACGAAGGGGGCAAGCGUUGUUCGGAAUUACUGGGCGUAAAGCGCGCGUAGGCGGCGUCGUCAGUCAGAGGUGAAAUCCCAGGGCUCAACCUUGGAAUUGCCUUUGAUACUGCGAUGCUUGAGUUCGAGAGAGGGUGGCGGAAUACCCAGUGUAGAGGUGAAAUUCGUAGAUAUUGGGUAGAACACCAGUGGCGAAGGCGGCCACCUG